rnacentral:tRNA from 1 species
GCAAAGAAUAGUUUAGUUUAGAAUCCUAGCUUNGGGAGUUAGGGGUGG